CUGUCCUACAGCCCUUAGGAAGGGAGCUGGGAGCUCCCUACAAAGAUAAGUACCACUUUUUUUUUUUCUUUUCCUUUCAGUUUUAGGUUUGUUUAUUUAACAGAAUAUACCUUUAAGUGAUGCUUUCAUACUAUUCUGCACCUGUCACUUUAAUAUUUACUUAAAAGUUUACUUACCUUGGAUCUCUGGGACUUCCUCUCCUUCAGAGGAUUCAUAUACUUACCUGGGGAUCAUCCCCCAUUAGUCCAUUCUCUCUCCACGGCCCCUGUGUGUUUGCCUGGGUCCCUGGUAGCUGCCCCAUGCCUUCUCCUCUCAGACUGAGUGUUUUAAACCCGGUAUUCA